rnacentral:rRNA from 1 species
ACCCCAGGUCAGGCGGGACGACCCGCUGAGUUUAAGCAUAUCAAUAAGCGGAGGAAAAGAAACUAACCAGGAUUCCCCUAGUAACGGCGAG